UACGUAGGGUGCAAGCGUUGUCCGGAAUUAUUGGGCGUAAAGAGCUUGUAGGCGGUUUGUCGCGUCUGCUGUGAAAUUUCGGGGCUCAACCCCGAACUUGCAGUGGGUACGGGCAGACUAGAGUGUGGUAGGGGAGACUGGAAUUCCUGGUGUAGCGGUGAAAUGCGCAGAUAUCAGGAGGAACACCGACGGCGAAGGCAGGUCUCUGGGCCAUAACUGACGCUGAGAAGCGAAAAGCAUGGGGGAGCGAACAGGG
rnacentral:rRNA from 1 species